rnacentral:rRNA from 1 species
AUACGUAGGGGGCGAGCGUUGUCCGGAAUGAUUGGGCGUAAAGGGCGCGUAGGCGGCGCGGUAAGUCUGGAGUGAAAGUCCUGCUUUCAAGGUGGGAAUUGCUUUGGAUACUGCCGCGCUUGAGUGCAGGAGAGGUUAUCGGAAUUCCCGGGGUAGCGGUGAAAUGCGUAGAGAUCGGGAGGAACACCAGUGGCGAAGGCGGGUAACUGGACUGCAACUGACGCUGAGGCGCGAAAGUGUGGGGAGCAAACAGGAUUAGAUACCCUGGUAGUCCACACUGUAAACGAUGAAUGCUAGGUGUAAGAGGUAUCGACCCCUUUUGUGCCGGAGUCAACACAAUAAGCAUUCCGCCUGGGGAGUACGGCCGCAAGGUUGAAACUCAAAUGAAUUGGCGGGG